GGCAUGGAUGAGACCUGCAUUCAGCAGUUUAUUCCUGCUGGGUGUUCAAAGGAUGGUGUGAUACAAAUUCAGAGUCUGGCAUCAUUGGUUUUCUUGGCUUCGUUCAUGUUAAACCUGGUAUUUUUUUUUAUUGAUGCAGUA